rnacentral:lncRNA from 13 species
CCAUAAUAUAGGUACUGGUAAUCAUCAUCAUCACUAUUACUAUUAUUCUUAUUUUACAAAUGAAGAAAUUUUGUAUAAAAUCAUCAGCUAAUGCUUAUAAUGCAAUGUUGAAGUAAAGAGUGGGAUAUAAAAUGGUGUGUCCAAUAUAUCUCGAUUAUAUGUAAAUAUAUAUGUAGAGAAAAAAGUCUAAAAGAUGGUGUAUUACAAUGUGGUCCUUUGUUGUCUCUAGGUAAUGAGUUAUAAGUCACAUUUAUUUUUUCCCACUUGCUCAGUAAUUAUGGCAAUUCCUUUUCAGGCUGAGGCUCCACUGCCCUGUCUUCACCUCCAUGAGAUGCGGGUUAGGUCCCCAUGGCUCCACCUUCUCCUCAAGAAACGGUCCAGAGCCUGUGAGCCCUGAGGAUUCUACAAUUUGGAUGUCAAGAGGAAACUGCCAAAAGCCAGAGCCCAGCAUCAAGAGAGGUUGCAACAAUUAUGCUGGGUCAGACCAUCAAAAGGAUUCACAAGACUCCAACAAAAGGCAGUGUCUCACUGUGUUACCCAGGCUGGAGUGCAGUGGCUAUUCACUGGUGUGAUCCCACUGCUGAUCAGCACGGGAGUUUUGACCUCCUCCAUUUCCAACCUGGACAAGUUCGUCUCUCCUUAGGUGGGGCUAGCCAGGAAACUCCAGAAAUCCACAAUAGUCCAGGGGUCCUUGUGGGGCACCCAGGAAAAUUCACAGCCUGUCUUGGAGGAAGAGUUUCCGGAGGACCUCCUGCAGUAACGGAACAUGAAAUUCCAGGUAAAUGUGAAAACAGCUACAUUAGGGAAAGGAUCCGAUUUAAAAUGUUCUGCCCCUCUAUCUCUUUAAAUGAGCACCCAGGUCAUAUGUCCUGACCUUCUAGUCUUAAAAAUACUGUGUGUGUGUAUGUGUGUGUAUGUGUGUGUGUGUGUGUGUGUGCAUUUACAAGUUCGGCCUCAUGAAAAAUUGACAACCCAUUCAUGGUAGCUGAAGAAUGAUAGAAGCUUCAAGGUGUUCAAGAGAAGUGUUACAGAAAGUCAGCACUUAUUUGAAG